GAUGAACGCUGGCGGCGUGCUUAACACAUGCAAGUCGAACGGGAUCCAUCAAGCUUGCUUGGUGGUGAGAGUGGCGAACGGGUGAGUAAUGCGUGACCGACCUGCCCCAUGCUCCGGAAUAGCUCCUGGAAACGGGUGGUAAUGCCGGAUGUUCCACAUGAUCGCAUGUGAUUGUGGGAAAGAUUCUAUCGGCGUGGGAUGGGGUCGCGUCCUAUCAGCUUGUUGGUGAGGUAACGGCUCACCAAGGCUUCGACGGGUAGCCGGCCUGAGAGGGCGACCGGCCACAUUGGGACUGAGAUACGGCCCAGACUCCUACGGGAGGCAGCAGUGGGGAAUAUUGCACAAUGGGCGCAAGCCUGAUGCAGCGACGCCGCGUGAGGGAUGGAGGCCUUCGGGUUGUAAACCUCUUUUGUUUGGGAGCAAGCCUUCGGGUGAGUGUACCUUU
rnacentral:rRNA from 1 species